rnacentral:tRNA from 1 species
UUCACGGGACCGUGAGGGUUCGAAUCCCUUUAUCCCCA